rnacentral:rRNA from 1 species
AACGAUCCUUUCGGGGAGGCGUCGAGCGGCGAACGGGUGAGUAACGCGUAGGAAUCUGCCUGAUAGUGGGGGAUAGCCCGGGGAAACCCGGAUUAAUACCGUAUACCUCCUUCGGGAGAAAGAAGGCCUCUCUUUGAAGCUUUCGCUACUAGAUGAGCCUGCGUAAGAUUAGCUUGUUGGUGAGGUAAAGGCUCACCAAGGCGACGAUCAAUAGCUGAUUUGAGAGGAUGAUCAGCCACACUGGGACUGAGAUACGGCCCAGACUCC